CAUUUUAGAGGCCCAGAUGGGUGCUGACUGCAGUUCAGGCACGGCCUCCUCUGUCCGCAGCCUCACCUCCCAGCGGGAAGGGAUGAUACCAGUUCUGACCAUCCAGGGCCUUCUAGAACCUCGGCCCGCUGGCAGCUGCAUGGAAUCCAGGAAGAACCAGGAAGGGCCUCCAGGGGCCAGAAGAGACAUCGCCAGCCCUUCCUGCCACUUCCGCCUGCCUGGAUGGCACUUUUUAAAAAAAAUGUCUUAUUUAUUUCUGA